GAUAUGCUCCGUGCAUUUAAUAACCCUUAAAGAUAAUAUGUUGGUCUCCGUAAUUGUGUAAUAAGAGGGGGCACAAUUGAAUCUGUAAAUAUGGAGAAAACCCAACAUUUCUUGUUUCUGCCAGAAACAGUGUGUCAUACAAAGUAGGUAUAUUCCCUUUUAUUCCGAACACCCAAGUAUAAAUUUCAGUAUUAACAUCUUUUGGGGUUCGUACUGUGGGUUUGUUCUUUCAUGUUCAUUCUCAUCUAUAAUGGAAUUACCUCAUUCCAUUUUGGCCAAUAAUAUUGUCGACAUUUAAUAAUUGAACGUGGUUCCAAUCAACACAGCCCAUUGAUGAUUUGAGUAGCUACUCCAAAACCAAAAAUUGUCAUUCAUCAAUUCAUGAUCAAAAAUUGUCAUUCAUCAAUU
rnacentral:lncRNA from 1 species